rnacentral:rRNA from 1 species
UACGGAGGGUGCAAGCGUUGCUCGGAAUUAUUGGGCGUAAAGGGUAGGUAGGUGGUCUCAUUUGUCUGGGGUGAAAGCCUUGAGCUUGACUCAAGAAGUGCCCCAGAAACGGUGAGACUAGAAUCUUGGAGAGGGUCGUGGAAUUCCCGGUGUAGCGGUGAAAUGCGUAGAGAUCGGGAGGAACACCAGAGGCGAAGGCGGCGACCUGGACAAGUAUUGACACUCAACUACGAAAGCGUGGGGAGCAAACAGG